UUUGUUAGUAAAGGAUUUGAUUUGGUACUAAGAAUCUUUAUGCUGAAGCUUAUUAUCAUUGCUAGUAAAAGAUAACUUAUACCAUUCGAUAAACAACGUUAAAACAUUCUAAAAUUUUCCCAGCUAACCUGCUCUAGUUAUUUUGUUCCUCAAAAUUUCUAUUUAGGUAAGAUUGAAACAUUAAACUACUUAUUAAGGACAAUACAUAGUCACUCAACCUAUUUUGUUAAUUGUGAGAUUUUAAAAUUGCAGCAUGGAUCCCGAACACAAAAGGGAAUCAAUCGAGAAAUACCAGGGGCCUUCUCAGUCCUAAGAUUGACAUUUUUCUGGUAUUGGUGAACUUACAUGUGUCCAUUUACAUGGCAUUUCGAGAUUCUUGGAUCAUUUCUGCUCAUAUCAUAUGCUUGCUCUCGGUGCCUGGGUAGAAAGCUAAUUCAUUGUAAGCGAAUCCUCAAACUGAGAUUCAUCAUGUUGCCUACAUCGAACCAUGAUUCAUAUUCUUGGAUGAUGCAGGUUGAUUCGUCGUCUAGCUAAAGAAUAUGCAAGCUAGAAUAACUGGCCACUGCUGUACAGAACUAGGGAGCAGAGGUAGAUGUAAAAAGGCUAACUAAGAGGCCUGCUCCUCCUCGAUUUGGUCGCACCUUGACUGAAGCACAAAA